rnacentral:rRNA from 1 species
GUACACGCUGUGACUAGCAUAUCAAUAAGCGGAGGAAAAGAGACUAACAAGGAUUCCCCUAGUAACGGCGAGUGAAGCGGGAAGAGCUCAAAUUUGAAAUCUUAAAGGGUUUCCCUUUACGAAUUGUAGUUUAAAGAAGUGUUUUCUGUUGAGGUUUUGGUAAAAGUUCUUUGGAAUAAGACAUCAUAGAGGGUGAGAAUCCCGUAUUUGACCUUUACUUUCAACUUUGUGAUACACUUUCAAAGAGUCGGAUUGUUUGGGAAUGCAGUCCAAAAUGGGUGGUAAAUUUCAUCUAAAGCUAAAUAUUGGCGAGAGACCGAUAGCGAACAAGUACCGUGAGGGAAAGAUGAGAAGAACUUUGAAAAGAGAGUUAAACAGUACGUGAAAUUGUCAAAAGGGAAGCGUUUGACACCAGUGUUGUUUUUCUGAAAAUCAAUUAAAGAACUGUUUAUGCUAAGUUGUUUAGACUUUAUCAGCUAACUGUUUAGUUUUGAGCUUUUCUUUAAUGCACUUUUCAGUUAACAAGUCAACAUCAAUUUCUUUUGCUGUAAAAAGCUUGAGGAAGGUGGCUUGAGAUUCGUCUUAAGUGUUUAUAGCCUCUUGCCUAUGCAGUCGGAGAGAUUGAGGUCUGCAGCGUAGAUCCUUCGGGGCUAAAUGCAUUUGUGCUAAGUUAUAGCAUUUUAUAGACAACUUGUUGACUAUGAUUUGUCUUGUAGCUUACUCGCUUAUGUUAUUUUACCUACGCUUAGGAUGUUGACGCGCGUGUGUGCGUG